rnacentral:rRNA from 1 species
UGGGGAAUUUUGGACAAUGGGCGAAAGCCUGAUCCAGCAAUGCCGCGUGUGUGAAGAAGGCCUUCGGGUUGUAAAGCACUUUUGUCCGGAAAGAAAUCCUUGGCUCUAAUACAGUCGGGGGAUGACGGUACCGGAAGAAUAAGCACCGGCUAACUACGUGCCAGCAGCCGCGGUAAUACGUAGGGUGCAAGCGUUAAUCGGAAUUACUGGGCGUAAAGCGUGCGCAGGCGGUUUGCUAAGACCGAUGUGAAAUCCCCGGGCUCAACCUGGGAACUGCAUUGGUGACUGGCAGGCUAGAGUAUGGCAGAGGGGGGUAGAAUUCCACGUGUAGCAGUGAAAUGCGUAGAGAUGUGGAGGAAUACCGGUGGCGAAGGCAGCCCCCUGGGCCAAUACUGACGCUCAUGCACGAAAGCGUGGGGAGCAAACAGGAUUAGAUACCCUGGUAGUCCACGCCCUAAACGAUGUCAACUAGUUGUUGGGGAUUCAUUUCCUUAGUAACGUAGCUAACGCGUGAAGUUGACCGCCUGGGGGAGUACGGUCGCAAGAUUAAAACUCAAUGAAUUGACGGGGUCAUAGCUGUUUCCU